AACGAACGCUGGCGGCAUGCCUAACACAUGCAAGUCGAACGAAGUCUUCGGACUUAGUGGCGCACGGGUGCGUAACGCGUGGGAAUCUGCCCUUGGGUACGGAAUAACUCAGAGAAAUUUGUGCUAAUACCGUAUAAUGUCUUCGGACCAAAGAUUUAUCGCGCAAGGAUGAGCCCGCGUAAGAUUAGCUAGUUGGUGGGGUAAAAGCCUACCAAGGCGACGAUAUUUAGCUGGUCUGAGAGGAUGAUCAGCCACACUGGGACUGAGACACGGCCCAGACUACUAAGGGAGGCAGCAGUGGGGAAUAUUGGAAAAUGGGCGAAAGCCUGAUACAGCAAUGCCGCGUGAGUGAUGAAGGCCGUAGGGUUGUAAAGCUCUUUUACAAGGGAUGAUAAUGACAGUACCUGGAGAAUAAGCUCCGGCUAACUCCGUG
rnacentral:rRNA from 1 species